rnacentral:lncRNA from 7 species
UCAAAGAGAAAAAGCAUGAUUUCUCCUAAAUGGGAGAUUCUCGAAGAGAAAACGUGUGAUUUCGGGUUAAAUGGGGGGAUUCUCAAAGAGAAAACGCGUGAUUUUCGGGUUAAUGGGGGAAUUGUCGAAGAGAAAACAUGCGAUUUUCCCUUAAAUGGUGGAUUUCCGAAGAGGAAACGUGUGAUUUUCGGGUUAAAUGGGGGAUUGUCGAAGAGAAAACACGCGAUUUGUGGAUUAAAUGGGGGAUUCUCGAAGAGAAAACGCGUGAUUUUCGGGUUAAAUGGGGGAUUCUCAAAGAGAAAACGUGUGAUUUUUGCUUAAAUGAAGGAUAUCCGAAGAGAAAACGCGUGAUUUUCGGGUUAAAUGGGGGAUUUCCAAAGAGAAAUGCGUGAUUUUUGGGUUAAAUGGGGGAUUCUCGAAGAGAAAACGCGUGAUUUUACUAAGAGGAGGGAUUUGCGCGGAGAAAAUGCGUGAUUUUCGGGUUAAAUGCGGGAUUUUUGUAGAGAAAACGCAUAAUAUUCGCUUAAAUGAGAGAUUUUUGAAGAGAAAACGCGUGAUUUUCGGGUUAAAUGGGAAAUUAUCGAAGAGAAAACGCGCCAGCCGCGGGCCCGCACGGCGCAUGCGCCAGCCGCGGGCCCGCACGGCGCAUGCGCC